CUGCGGUCUAUCAGGUCGUAGUGGGUGUAAAGUACCUACUAGCCUACGACGGAUACGGGUUGUGAGAGCAAGAGCCCGGAGAUGGAUUCUGAGACAUGAAUCCAGGCCCUACGGGGCGCAGCAGGCGCGAAAACUUUACAAUGCGGGAAACCGUGAUAAGGGGACACCGAGUGCCAGCAUCAUAUGCUGGCUGUCCAGGUGUGUAAAAUACACCUGUUAGCAAGGGCCGGGCAAGACCGGUGCCAGCCGCCGCGGUAACACCGGCGGCCCGAGUGGUGAUCGUGAUUAUUGGGUCUAAAGGGUCCGUAGCCGGUUUGGUCAGUCCUCCGGGAAAUCUGAUAGCUUAACUAUUAGGCUUUCGGGGGAUACUGCCAGACUUGGAACCGGGAGAGGUAAGAGGUACUACAGGGGUAGGAGUGAAAUCUUGUAAUCCCUGUGGGACCACCUGUGGCGAAGGCGUCUUACCAGAACGGGUUCGACGGUGAGGGACAAAAGCUGGGGGCACGAACCGGAUUAGAUACCCGGGUAGUCCCAGCCGUAAACGAUGCUCGCUAGGUGUCAGGGACGGUGCGACCGUUUCUGGUGCCGCAGGGAAGCCGUGAAGCGAGCCACCUGGGAAGUACGGUCGCAAGGCUGAAACUUAA
rnacentral:rRNA from 1 species